UGGUUUCGAUGAUAUCUUUAUGGAUGGAGUUAUAUGCAUGGAAAGGUCUUCUAUUCUAAGAGUUGUUAUGCCAGAUAUCAUAGAGGGUAGUUUUAAGGUCAUUCUUCUUGAGAGGUUCAGAGAUAAGCUCUUUAAAUAGAGGCUGACUUGGAAUGCAUUGGUACCAUCAAGUAAUUAAUGUAGGAACCAUUAUGAAAAAUCCAUUCGG
rnacentral:lncRNA from 1 species